CAGUAGCCACGGGAAUACGGAGGGUGCAAGCGUUAAUCGGAAUUACUGGGCGUAAAGCGCACGCAGGCGGUCUGACAAGUCAGAUGUGAAAUCCCCGGGCUUAACCUGGGAACUGCAUUUGAAACUGUCAGGCUGGAGUCUUGUAGAGGGGGGUGGAAUUCCAGGUGUAGCGGUGAAAUGCGUAGAGAUCUGGAGGAAUACCGGUGGCGAAGGCGGCCCCCUGGACAAAGACUGACGCUCAGGUGCGAAAGCGUGGGGAGCAAACAGGAUUAGAUACCCGAGUAGUCCCUGUCUCUUAUAC
rnacentral:rRNA from 1 species